CAAGCUUCCCCCGACCACUUUCCAACAGUCAGCCUCUCUCAAUCCACACCGACCCUCAGACACACAUUUGACUCAUGCCCUCGGGUCAGUCCCACUGUUUUAGGGCUGACCCCCUCAGGGACAUGCAACUCACUUCUAUAAAUGCCUAUGCCCAGCAGAGGCAAAACUGCUUGGCUUAAGCCCUUUAAGAAGAAAGAAAACACUAAGCAAAGCCACUGACGACGGGGAGAUCAGAAGGGCUUCGAAGCGCUUUGCCCCACGCUCUCUCGGCCGGGGGCUGAAGCAGGAACCGGCAGCCGGGCACACCCCCAUUGCGAGGCCUAGGCAGGCCUCUCGCCCAGGUGAGUACCAUUUUACUUGAAAAGUGAAAGGUGGUGUAAUUCUAACAGCAGGAAUAAAGCUAUGAAAAAAGGACAGAACCAUGCAAAUUAGACUCAAGGCAGAAGAGAAAACAGCAUCAUAAAGGAGAAUUGACAUGUGAUGGCAGCUUGGAAAGAGUUAAAAUGGACUUCUUGAUGUGACAGUCUGCUGGGAGCAGCACAAAGGAGCAAGGGAAAAGAAAUUCUCCAUUGCUGAGGAAUUAACAGUUACAUUGUCUAUUCCCAUUCCUGGAAUAAACUGGAAAAAUGCAUUUAUGUUCAUGUCACGAUCAGUUGGAGUUUGGGCCUGAAUUUUCAGGAAGCAAAGUCAUACUUUUUGGCUUUUCGUUGCAAUCAUGAAGACUACAAAUUCUUUUUAAAAGUUUCCCUACAGACGAACACCCACUGUCUAUGAUGAAAGAAUUGGAACAGCUUAUCCCACUGCCACUGACGUGAGAACUUCAGCAAUACACCUAAGGUCACGGAGUUAAGGGCAUAAUCUGAGCUUUUGCAGUGGCUUACGCACGAGUAUUUCCAAAUCCUCCAUUCAGAUGCUACUCUUCAUGCUGAAGACAAAUGGCUCUGGAAUACUCAGCUUCAUGAAACUGCUUAUUAAAGAGUGUUAUAGGAUACUUUGUGCCUGCAGCCAGACUGUGUAGCUGUUUAUCACUUGCAAACAGUAGGGCCAGAAGGGAAAGCCUGCUGCAGAAAUUUUUAUCUUGCCCUGCUACCCUGUCUUCCCUCCUUUGCAGUCCCUCUAGGUUUGUAGAAAUGCUCUGUAAUCAGACAGCUAGCCAAACUAAUCUCAAGAAAAAAUUGCAAAUGCUUUGCUCUCCAUUUUCAAAGGUGAAGUCACAGAUCAAUCUACCUGGGCAAGCUAAGUGCUUCACUGGAGUGCAUGGCUUACAUGAACUUGAAGUGCAUGAAACUCUACAGGAUGUGUUCCACUUGAUAUUUUACAACUUUUUUUCUCAUUAGUUUGAUGCUCCAAUGCAAAAUAUUAUGUGGCAUUAUAAAAGUUUAUCCUGUCUUGUGAGUCUCACGGGUCACACUUUGGUCAAAGUUCUUAAAUGUACUUAUUCUUAUGUGAUCUUGAUUGUCUUUAAAAAAGGACACAAGCUCUGUAAUUUUGUGACUGGCAAUAAAACUUUGAAUAUCUGACCCAGUAACCAAGAAGCAAAACAAA